GUGUUACCUAGCCUCAGUGCAGUGGGCAGCUGGGAGGAGGUGCUCUUGUUCUCCAUGGACUUCACAGUGUCCCAGAACCUUUUGGAGUUGGAGCUACAGGAUGCAAACUUCUGCCUGAAGAAGCUGGCCUUAGCUUUCCUGACUGACUGCGUGUAUUGGUUCCUGACUUCCCUGAACAGUUGCAUAUCACGGGGACUAUUCGAUGAUAUUGCAGUCCGCCACAGGAUAUUUUUGUGCUGGUCGAGGGCAGUCAGGUCUGGAGUGAACCAAGGGCUGUAUCUGUUCUUAGUUCUGCAUUUUUUGAACGGAGCAUGCUUAUCUAAAAUGGUGAGGAAGUUACUUUUAAAGAAUGAUCAGGCAUCCUCAACUGACGGGAUGAGGUCAAUGUCCUUCCAGGAUACCCGGGCCAGGUCGAUUAGAAAGGCCUGCUCAUAGAAGUGUUUUAGGGAGCGUUUGACAGUGAUGAGGUGUGGUCGUUUGACUGUGGCUCCGUAGCGGAUACAGGCAAUGAGGCAGUGAUCGCUGAGAUCCUGGUUGAAGACAGCGGAGGUGUAUUUGGAGGGCCAGUUGGUCAGGAUGACGUCUAUGAGGGUGCCCUUGUUUACAGAUUUAAGGUUGUACCUGGUGGGUUCCUUGAUGAUUUGUGUGAGAUUGAGGGCAUCUAGCUUAGAUUGUAGGACUGCCGAGGUGUUAAGCAUAUCCCAGUUUAGGUCACCUAACAGAACAAACUCUGAAGCUAGAUGGGGGGCAAUCAAUUCACAGAUGGUGUCCAGGGCACAGUUGGGAGCUGAGGGGGGUCGGUAGCAGGCGGCAACAGUGAGACUUAUUUCUGGAGAGUAAUUUUCAAAAUUAGUAGUUCGAACUGUUUGGGUAUGGACCUGGAAAGUAUGACAUUACUUUGCAGGCUAUCUCUAUAACCAUUAACCACAUUUCAAAGUCAUUAUGAUAUAACCAAUACAAGCCUAACCUUCGCAUGCAUCAAACAUGCAUGAUUGUGACAGAAGAAACAUGAAUCUACAUAUUUUCUAAAUCCUCCAUACAGCCUUCACCUGCUGGUGGAUAUCGGCCUUCACCUGCUGGUGGAUAUCGUGCUGGUGGAUAUCGGCCUUCACCUGCUGGUGGAUAUCGGCCUACACCUGCUGGUGGAUAUCGACCUUCACCUGCUGGUGGAUAUCGUGCUGGUGGAUAUCGGCCUUCACCUGCUGGUGGUUAUCACUCAACCUCUUCUUACGUGUCUGUAACACAGACCUGAGCUGGUUCUGCUUGGGGGAGUAGUGGAGGUGGUGGAUACAGGAGGCCCAGACCAGCUUAGCUCUCCCCCAUCCUACAAGCUCCAUCUAAGGGUUCUACUUGGGGGAGUAGUGGAGGUGGUGGAUACAGGAGGCCCAGACCAGCUUAGCUCUCCCCCAUCCUACAAGCUCCAUCUAAGGGUUCUACUUGGGGGAGUAGUGGAGGUGGUGGAUACAGGAGGCCCAGACCAGCUUAGCUCUCCCCCAUCCUACAAGCUCCAUCUAAGGGUUCUACUUGGGGGAGUAGUGGAGGUGGUGGAUACAGCGCUCCAGGAGGCCCAGACCAGCUUAGCUCUCCCCCAUCCUCAGUGGUGGAAGAAGUACUAAACUGUCAUACUUGAGAAAAAGUAAAGAUGCCUUUUAAUAGAAAAUGACUCAAGUAGAGGUCACCCAGUAAAAUACUACUUGAGUAGGAGUGUCAAAAGUAAAAGUUUAAAUAAUUUCAAAUUCCUUAUAUUAAGCAAACCAGAUGGCACAAUUAUUAUGAUUUUUUUUGCUGGAUAGCCACGGGC
ensembl:lncRNA